rnacentral:rRNA from 1 species
UACGAAGGGUGCAAGCGUUACUCGGAAUUACUGGGCGUAAAGCGUGCGUAGGUGGUUUGUUAAGUCUGAUGUGAAAGCCCUGGGCUCAACCUGGGAACGGCAUUGGAAACUGGCUUACUAGAGUGCGGUAGAGGGGUGUGGAAUUCCCGGUGUAGCAGUGAAAUGCGUAGAUAUCAGGAGGAACACCGGUGGCGAAGGCGGAUCUCUGGGCCUUACCUGACGCUGAGGCGCGAAAGCUAGGGGAGCGAACAGG